GACUCAAUUUGCUGGGGGCAUUUAUUUCUCUGUCUCUUCCUCUCUCUCUCUCUCUCUUGUUUUUUACAAUCUAUGUGUAAUGACUAAUUGGCUGUGUUUUCCCAGCUAUUUUAUGUUUCUCUUGCCCUGGUUACAACGCGUACUAAAGCAGUAUAUCCACAGGGACCUAUAGACAGCCAACACUGCCAAAUGAUACGCAGCAUUCCCUUUCUCUCUAAGUGUAAAACAUUUACAAGUAAAUUUACAAAUGCAUUAAGAACAUUUCCUCAGUUGACUGUUAGUGUUUAUUUCUUCCCUUUCUCCUCGCGGGAGCAGACACCUUCCAGCCCCUCAACUUUCACACAGUGCUCUCCCGUUAUUUGCCUCCCUGUCGCCCCUUUCCCUCCUCUCCCUCCUCCUCCUCCUCCUCCUUUUCCAGUUCAGCGGCGCAAAUUUCUGUUUGUGCCAGUGGGGCGGCCUGGCGAGACCGCAAUUGCUCUACCCCACAGAUUGACGAGCCCUCAGAUGCCGAUUUACUGUACAUGGCAGCCACGCUGGAGCCGCGGCACAUCUGGAGUGGAGAUGUUCCAGGAUGAUGCCAGUAGAAAUGGGCCAAAAUUCCCCAUGAAACAUCUUGCCCAGGUCUCAGCAUUCUCACCAGGGGAAGCAGUGAGCAUUACCUCCUUAUGGCUGCUUAGAAACCGCUCGAGGUGAAACUCUGUAAGGAGAAGACUCUGCAUGGGAGAGGUGUCGAUCAGCAUGGAAAGACUGAAUUGCACAUCUUCAAGGUCCAGAACGACCUUUCUGUGCCUGAAGACAGGAGCAGCAUCAUGGGUCCAGGGAGAAAUGCAGGGAUGGCACACCAUUUUGCAUGAUCUAGGUGACUACUGAGUUGGAUAAAGUGGUUUCUUUGCAGUGAAAUGAUUUAUUUAGAAAAAACUCCACAUGUCUACAUGGAAAGGCUGAUGGAACCAGUCUCAAAAGCAAAGCUGUUUGGCAAACUUCAAGAGAGAUCUUGGCAGAUGACUGAAAUCUAAAGCUUUAAGAGACAGUUGGAUUUUAGCUGAGUUUUUCUGUAAGCCUGCAGGGCUCCGGCUGGCAGACCAUUGCUCAACCUUUUGACUGUCAGGGUGGAGGAUUGAUGGCCUAUCAUUGCAGGAUGGCCCACCAAGUAGUCUACCUUUGAACUAAAGACCUCAGGCCUUCCAGGUUUCAAAACUGGGACAACACUUGUUUUCAAACUUUUUUUAUGUGUUUUGGUAUUCAUUGGAAAUAUUUUUAUGAAUUACCAAAUCCUGACCCCAAAAAGUGCUCCAUAGGAAUUUUUUUAACAGCUCUAUUCUAGUCUAAGUUUAGUGACCCUGAGGGGAAAAAAAAGUUUCUCCAUAAAGGAGAAAUAAAACAGAAUCCAGUGAAUUAGUCCGAAGCAGUACUUCUCUGACCCUUACUUACUGGGCAACUGUGCCUGUAAUCCCACUGGUGUCCUUGGACAUCCAGUUUGUUUUGGGCUCAGUUAUAUAGUUCUUGUCCUAAUUUUAAACAUGAUGUCUUGGUAAGAAUUGUUUAAGCAUGGGGUUUUUUUCCCUGUUCCAUUUACUGCACAUUUGAAGUUGAUUCAGCUCCCUGUUUUGCACUAAUGCCAAAAGUGUCCAUGAAGUCUCAAAAUGAAAUAAUCUUGGUAGAUGACUAUGCAUCCUACUGAUUAUGCUAUUGUUAUAAUAUUAAUAGCAUACGCUCCAACUUAAGCAAUGUGCAGGUGCAAAACUCUCAUUCAGCAGUACAUAACUCUUUCAUCUGCCGUUUCUUGCCAGUAGAUUUCCUGCCCAUAUGAAUGUUUCUUGUGAAAUUUCUGGAGAAUAGCUGUUGGAAUUUUGCCAGUUGUAAGAAAACAAAUGCACAAACAACCCAGUUCCAAAACUCAACCUACUCCCCCUUCCCCAGUAGUCUCUUUUUGCAAUGACUAAUUCAUAAUAGAUGUUCUGAAUCUAACAGAAAUUACCAAUUGUGACAAAAUAAACAGUGUGGAUUAAUGUAAAGGCAAAAGUAAAAACUCUCCUAGUCGUGCCAAUAAUGUCACCUCAGUGUGCCUGUGUGUUGAUGUUGCCAUGUAUCACAAUACAUGUGCGUACCUCACUUUAAAUAUGUGCCCAUGCUUGUCCUGAGUCAUUCACUCUGUAACACUUCCUUCGAAUCCUACCCAUAUAUAUUAACUUCAAAAGACAAUUGGUCUUUCAAAUAAUAACCAAUUUUGAGAGAAA